GAUGUCAACUAAAGAACUAGCCAAACAGCCAAAGGUCAAUCAAGAGAGGGAAUCGAUUUUGUUACCCGUUUUGCUAGCUGUUUUCAGUAUGCUCUUCUUUAUGCUACUGUUAGCUUUAGUGUUGUUGUACGCUAUUCCAGGUAAAGUUAAUAACUUGAACUAGCCACAGGUUUAACUGUGUUCAAUUGGGAAGCCAAACUUAAUCUCGCACUUUUAAUGAACUAGUUUUUGUGCGCAACUUAAUUAAAAACGUUUUUCGCUCUUUUCGCACCGC
rnacentral:sRNA from 1 species